ACCAACAUCUGCUUGGAAAUGCCACCAGUCCAACAUGCCAUGUACAGACUUUAGAAGAAGACAACAGGCCACCCACAUCCAAUGCAUUGCAGACAGUUCUUGGGGCCACUCAUAAGCAGCAACAAAGAAAAUGAGGUGGAGAAAAUGAAGAAAGGGAAGAUCAAAGGAAUGAAGAUCCUCCUUAAGAAGAUUUUUGGAUUAUUGCUGAAACUCUAAAUGUUCUAGGAAUCUUUUGUUAUCAAAUAUUUUGAAACUUCUUUAACUUUUGGAUUGUAAAACUUAUGUACUUGGUUCUUAACUUUUGGAUUAUUAAACUUAUGUACAUGGGUUCUAAUAUUUUGCUUU